rnacentral:rRNA from 1 species
GACAGAGGGUGCAAACGUUGCUCAGAAUUACUGGGCGUAAAGGGCGCGUAGGCGGCCUUCUAAGUCGAACGUGAAAUCCCCGGGCUCAACCCGGGAACUGCGUCCGAUACUGGAAGGCUUGAAUCCGGGAGAGGGAUGCGGAAUUCCAGGUGUAGCGGUGAAAUGCGUAGAUAUCUGGAGGAACACCGGUGGCGAAGGCGGCAUCCUGGACCGGCAUUGACGCUGAGGCGCGAAAGCCAGGGGAGCAAACGGG